AAGAAGCGAACAACAGACGAUCCCCUGCACAGGCGCGGGCCGAAUGUUUCCGCAAGGGCUGAUCGAUCAAUGGCUGAGCAAAUCACGUGAUGGCCGCCGCAGCGUGCGAGAGGACCGGAAAGCAACGCCAGCCAUCCUGGACAACAUCGACCGCCUCGAGGAGUACUGCCGUAGCCACCCCUACGACGUGUUCUGUGCGAGCACGUUGCAACAUCCACCCUUUGCCCUCCACGCACUGGAGAGCGAAGCGGCGGAGCAGCAGCGGCUCGCACAGCCGCCGCCGGUGUUCGCAGCGACCGUCCCCUCGCCCUCUGCUCACACGACGGCCUCCAAUGAGGUGAGGGGCGGCGUCUGUGGGCGGUACGCAGACGGAGACGAAUCUCGCGCGUCGGUGGCGGCUGCUCGUCAACAUCUGCACAACGUCGCUGCGCGACUCGCCGCGUAUCUGCAGUCUAGCGGCGCGGUGAGGAGUUCGGCAAGCCGGCAUAAGGAAGAGUCGCAGUGCACCGUUGUGGCAGACUUCUUUGUGCACUUGCUGUCGGAGGCGGCGGUGGCUGCCGUGUACCGGCAGGGUAUCGCCGCGCAGGUGGAGGCCGAGGAGCGGGCGGCCUUUCAGCAUCGUCAGUCACGGCGACGGUUGCAACUGCGCGUUGACAGUAAGCACGACGGUACUCUGGAGCGUCUGGAGUUGUCAGACAGUAAGGGAGCAGGCACCGAGGCCGUCCAUGAAGUCGAGGGUCUAACGGUGGUGCGGCCCAUUGCUGACUACCGGCGCCUGAGUCAGGGGCUCGCUUCGCUGUGGAGUUUGCUGGCACAAACGGAGCGACGUGGUGGACUGGCGGCCGGCGGACCACCUUCGAAAAAACGCAGCCGCGAGAGCACCGUCGAUACCGGCUCGGUGAACGACAACGACAACCUGUGGACGCGCGUGCGUGUGGACUGUCUGCGCCACUGGCUUGGCGACCGCGGCCUUCCACCCCCGCCGCCUCUUCAGGGCACCGCAGCGUUGGGGGAGUCUCAACGAAAGACAGAGGCAUCGUCGCCAGCGAUGCCGGGUGGCGCGUGGUGGAGUCGGCCGCUCUACAUCUCCGAGCGCGAUGUAGAGUUUGCCCUGCGCAAGGUGCUCGCGGACGUCACAGCAUCCACAGCCUCGUAAGGUGUCUGCUGGGACCUAUCCAAACACAAACACUCGAAUAAAAACUCUUUGAUUCGGGCCCAAAGCAGCCGCAAGAGCAGCAACUGCCAUUGCCUGCCACACCUGCCCCCUCAUGCGCGCUAGCACUGGAGACGGCGUCAUGUCUACUCCUGUCAGUCCCGUCUCACGCCUCUCCACCGUUUCGUCUGGCACAG
rnacentral:misc_RNA from 1 species